GUGCCAUUGUCUUUGGCUUCUCAGUCAGCCCUCAUUGUCCGUCAUGUUCAGAGAGUCCGAGUCCGGUUUGAUCCCAUGCUUUUUUAGUCCCAGUCCAGCUGGCCUUGAUAGUCACCAAAGGUCUAGAAGGUGUGGCGUGAAUGAACCAAUAAUUGAACUCGCUAUUUGGAUGGAGACUGGAAAAUGUCUUUGAAGACUAUUUUAUAUAUAUUUAAAGACUUUUACUGUUUCUGUUGGACUAAGUCAAGAAAAGCGUGAUGACACUGACUUCAGUGUUCUCUCAGCGCUUCUCAUAAUGACUGCAGGGUAAUUUUGAAGCUGACUUUAAAGUUCAUUUCAACUGAUUAUAAAUUUAUAAAGAACUUUUACCUUGUUGCGCUUUUUCAAAUGGUUUGACUACAUAGCAUAGCCUGACUUGUACUGAGCUAAACAGUAUUAUAUAAAGCAUUUUUAGUUAUUUUAUUGAUUUUUAUUGUGCUCUACAUUUUUCUCUGUUCCCCUCCCUCUCCCAUGGUUCCCAUGUUCCAUUUUACUCUGGAUAUUUUGUCUUUUUCUACUUCUCAUGUAGAUUAGAUCCAUGUAUGUCUUUCUUGGGAUUGUGAUUUGUAGGCUGGUUUGCAUUGCUUAAUGUGAUGUUUAAAUGUCACUUAUGAGACAUGUAAUAAUUGUCUUUCUGGGUCUGGGUUACCUCACUCAAAAUGAUGUUUUCUAGCUCCAUCCAUUUCCCUUCAUAUUUCAAGAUGUCAUUUUUUCUGCUGUUUAGUACUCCAUUGUGUAAAUGUACCACAUUUUUCUUAUCCAUUCUUCAUUUGAUGGCCAUUUAUGAACCUUUUUAUUACCUUUAAAAUUCAUCAAGAUUUUUACAUACUGUGAGUUAUGUUACUUUGGGGAGCAUUCUUUUACUCAUCAAUGCAUCUCUCAUCUGAGUAGCUGUAAAUUCUACGUAGCACUGUUCCUUAUGAAAAUAGCUAUUUCCAAAUAAUUCUUCUUGAUGUACCAUGGCAAAGUAUAUAAAAUCUAAAUUUGAGUAAGUGUAUUUGAUAAUUUACUAAAAUUAUGAAUAUUUUACUUAACAGUGGUACAUGUAUUUGUCGUAACAUAAAUAGUACUUAUAAUAUUAAGUACUAUUUAUUAAAUAUUAAAUAUUUUUAAAUCAUCAUGCUGUUUCAUUUUAGUUUCAAUAAUGUCUUUCUUAUAACCUCAUGUAAGUGAGUCUGUAUUAUGUAUGUCAAAUUAAAUACUGUGUGUUUUGUAUUUUCUUUGUUUUGAUGCUAGUUUGUACAUAAAUUAUUUAUUAAAAUGCAAUCAUGUUCUCAAAUACAAUCAUGUUUUCUCAUGUGUCAUUGGAGUCAUUUUUUCUUUUGAAAGCAUGUUUUUGUUCACAUCAUUUUCGUCUGUGUCAUCCAUAAUUUCUCAUCAGAUAUUUUCCAUUUGUUUUGCCCCAUACUAAUGUGUUACACAAAAAUAAUAAUUAUUCACUUUGAUUUAUACCAUUAGUCUUACAAAUCAAGCAUAUAGAAAACAUAAUUUGCUGCAUGCCUAUUUGCUUCUUCUAUUAACUUGUUAUUACUGGUGAUUUAUACUGUCUUAACUAUUCUGUUGAGUUCUGCCUCCUUUCUCUUUUUCAGAAUAUUUCCUGUAUGUAGCCUAAUUAAUGUUCCUAAUUAGUUGUCAAGCUGGAAAAGAUGCAGUUUUAAUUUCAUUUGCACCACAUUUAAUAGAUUAAGUAGGAGAGACUAGAUUAAGUUGAGUCUUCUUAUACUACUUCAAGGAGGAUUCUGGGAUUGCAGUCAUGUAUUACAGCGCCAGGUCAUGUGGUUCUGAGGCUCAAACUUAGAGAUUCCUGUGGCUUUACAACUAUUCUACCAACGGAACUACUACAUCCCUAGCUAAAGAAUGUGGUUUGCUUCUAAUCCAGGAAUAGUGUUGUACAACUGUAGUCCCUAACUCCUCACAACUCCACACAGGGAGGCUGAAGGCCUGAGGCCAGCUUGGCAACUCUGAGACCUCUUCUCCACAUCUCAACAACAAAAAAGGUGGUGAACAUCUUGAUAAAUAUACCCAAAAUACCUUCUGAAAAGGUUUUAUCUACAGGAUCUCCCAAGUACAGUUAUUAAAUUGAUUGCUUCUGGAGUCCCUUAUUGUCUCACAACUUGUACAGGAGACUUCAAUGGCAUAGAAACGACCUGCUUUUGGCAAGUAACUGACAGAAAUGUUCAGUUCUUUUGCUUUCAGUACAUCUCGUAUUCUCUCAUUGUAUGUUACCUAUUUUCUCAUUCAUAUUUCACUUUUUGAACAGAAGAAACUUUUGUGUGGGGGUUGUACAAUUAAUGUGCACAGAUACUUUUUAAUGAUACUUCAGAUGAUAGCAAGAUUUUCUGACUCAUUGAGUUUACCUGCAUACCAGUUUUGUUAUCAUUUGUGAGACAGUUUCCUCCUCUCAAGAAAUGCAGAUUUUAGGCAGACUCCAAGAAGAUUCUCUUACGCACUAUGUUCUUUAGAGAAGGUCCUCUGGCUGCUGCUUUACUGACAUUAAUGACCUGGGUCUGGGGCAGAAAUACAAGUUUCUGUGGUUUGCCUUUUCUCCAAUACCCCAACUGCAGGCGUCAAUGUCAUUGAAACUAUGGAUAUGUAGAGAAAUAUAAGCCUUGCACUGAUGAGGUGAGACAUGGUGUUGCUGUCCUGUAGAAUGUGUGACAUCAUCAUUUUAUUGGUAUCACCCAUGUCCUUUUAGGUCACUGUAACAAAGACAUUUGAGUUAUUACACUUGUUCCUGCUUAACCUAAGUGAAGUUAAUAUAUGGUACUUUUUUUAAAAAAAAGUAUUAGUUGUUUGCUUCUAGCCCAUAAGUCAUGCUGUCAUUGGGCAAUUACUAUCUGCGUUUCUCAAUAUCUUUUAAUAGUUGUUAAGAGUAAGAACAAUUGCUAAGAGUUUUUAAAGUGUAUGUGCAUGUAUGUCUUCAUGUGGGUAUGUUCAUGUUAGGUAUCUACAGAGAUCAGAAAUGAAAGAAGCCCCCCUAAAGCUGGAGUUAGAGGUGAGGCAUGAUUGCUCAACCCCCAGAUAUUUUAAGAUUGUUUACUAAUCCCUUUCUUUGAAUGAAAGUUUGUGUGAUUUACCAGCACAUUGUUUAAUAGGAGCCAGUAAGAUAUCUUCCUGGAAAAAGAGAUUUCCAUCAAAGCCCUGAUGGAUCUCUGGAAACCAGGUGGGAAAGAAUAUAGCAGAGAGCAGAAUACUUAAUGGAUUUUUUUAAGCUCAUAAAUUUGGAGCACAACUCAAGUCUUCUUACUUAUUAUAUUAUUAUGAUGUUUCCACUGGAUUCUUGUCCUCGUCUGUGUUUUUUUUUAAUAAGGUCCAUUUAAUUUACAUGCAGUGGAGUCCCCUUUUUAAUAGCAAAGUUAAAUUAAUGAAUUUCAGUUAAUCAUGUUAACGUUUGUUUCUCGUAUUCAGAUUGACUUUGAUUCUAACCAAACUCAGUGACAGUACAUGAGACAGGAGAAAAUAAUACAAUUUAUCAGUUUGUGUUAUUUAUUACAAAACUUUUUCUGUAAGCCUCCAGAUUUGUAGAGUCUAUUGUUGCAACCAGGAAUCUGUUCUUGCGGUAUAAUAGUACCCAGGGCUAAUUCUUAAACUGUACCAUGGUAAAUAGUUGCGGUGAAUAAACCCUGGGCCAGAUUUGAACUCUAGCAGAUGAUUUUUGAUCACUUGGUGUAUUGUAUAGUUCAUCCAGAGGAUAUUUGAUAGAGUUUGAAACAGAAGAUACACAAAGAAUGCUUUUGCUUGUACUAGAUUCUAAAUCAUCUACAUCAGCAGGUUCUCAAGCUGUGGCUUGUGACCCCUUUGACAGGGGUC